CGCAUUUCUGAGAAUCACAGAAUCAAUACCCCUCAGAGUGCCGGUCUUACUUCUUGUUCAUCAUAUUUUGUGGUGCUUCCCGUGCGCUCCGAAGUCCGGAACCCGGAUGUCUCAAGUGCACUUUGUAACUCGUCGGUCUUGUGAAAUGUUAUUUCGAAAAGCUGGAUAUUAUUUUUGAAUUUUGAAAUCUUCGGGUACUCGAUUAGCCAGUUUCCCCCUUCGAUUUUUCCACUGUUCAUUUUCUAGCCUCGUGAAUUUACUGGGCAAUCACAACGUGCUGAUAAUGUCUCGCUCUGAUGUUUCCAGCAAUCUCAAUGAGAAGAGUUACAUUUUAGAUGUCAAGAAAAGUGUCGAAGAUUCCUGACAUCUCGACUCGUAACCUCAAGGACACUGCUUGACUCCUCUCACUUGCAGCGCACCGUUGUUGUCUGAGGAUUCCAGUACGUGGCGUUAGCAUCCAGACAUUAAUCUUAAAUUUGCAGGCGGAAAGUUAAUUAACUGCUACUAAAAGAAGAUGCAUUUGAAGACGCCUUCGGACCAUGUAAAUGACAGUGAUCCACUGUAUGUAAUAGGACCUCUUAAGAAUCUGCUGGUAUUUUUCGAGUCGCUCCAUCAUAAAGACCUCUGCAAUAUUAUAAAGUAUAUGUGAAGUAAACCAUCUACGUCAUCAUCUUAUCUCCCGAGCGGCGUCUCAGCUAUCAAAGAGGAUGAUGAUUCACCACCCUAAACUCUUCUGCUCAAACCUGUUUAAACUUGCAAAAUACAUUUCUCAGAAAUUACCUUCAAAAUAAUCAUAUCACACACUCUAAAUCAGACAUCAAAUAUUUCUCAGAAUUAUAUUGACAUUAACAAGCAAUUAUAUUUAACGAUAAAUUCAUCAAUAUACAGGAAAUAUGAUCACCUAGCCCUCUUAAACACCCUGACACGGAUACAUACCUUAUAUCUCACACGGAUAUGCACUCACACAUAGCUAUCCAGACUCCGUCUUACUUUUUGCUAUUCGUAUGGAAAAAAGUUGAAACUUGGCAACACUAUAGAUAAGGAUUCUUGGAACUAUGGUGACGUCAUCAGAAUGGAAUUUUGUUUAGAUAGAAUUGUUUAACAUUAUAUGAAAUAUGGCGCCCCUGUCAGCAAAUUUUAAAGGAGAAAGUUUAAUUA